CUAACUCACUUGAUUCCUUAUAAAUCUGCAUUAACAUUUCAACAAACGUGCUGAACUUUUCCUAUAUCUAAGCUGAAUAUAAACAUCAUAAAUAAAUUGAAGGCAGUAAGGCACAUAAUAUUAAAUUCCUUUGUCCAUUGGAUUCCUCCAUCUUCUGAGUCCCUUCGUUCUCUCCCACUUCUUCAUGUCUUUUGAAAUAAAGAAACCCUAAUGCCGCUAGACUCUGUCUCUCUCUCUCUCUCUCUCUCUCUCUCUCUCUCUAGCAUUGUUGCCACCAAAAUCAACCACCUCGUUUUUCUCAAUGCUACAACGACCCCAACCCAUCUGGCAACGAUUUCCGUAAGCAACUCAGGUUUACCCUUCCAACCCACAGGUUUCUUGAUUUGUGUUGUCCUAUUUUGGGUUUUUCUUAAUAAUAUGUUGCAACGAUCCUCACCCCCACCACUAACCAGUAACUAGCACCGCCAUAGAAAUCCCACAACUCUUCGUCGAUGUUCGAUUUCUUUGGUGAUGGAACCCAUCUCUAUAAGAUUCAAGCUACAACUGUGGGAAAUCAACAAUAAUUAGUUUGUUUUUCCCGAUCCAAAGGCAAGAGAGAUUGACACACUAAAAAUGAACUACAAAGCUCCAUGAAGCAACUCUGGAGAAACUUGAGUUAGUGAAAACAGAAUCUGAAAGUUUAUCAUCACAGAAGCUAUAUGCAAACUAUGCCAUUGGUAAAGAUGUCCAUGUCAUGAAAGCAGUGGUUGGAGAAGAAGCCUUCUUCUGAGGAUCCGGUCAGUUUCACUUUCUCUAUCUAAAUUACAAUCAUGGUUCUUAAUGAGAUAAAACUUGUUGGACUUGUAGUGGCGUGUGAAAAAAAUCGUAAGGAAUUAGCAUUUGAUAAAAAAGGAAAAUUCAUUAUUUGAAUUUUUUGUGUUUUUCUAUGUUUAACCUUUUAUAAACGUGGGUGAUCAGGAAAAUUCAUUAUUGGAUAUUGAUGCUACAUUAUAUAAAUCAGGUAAAUGGUAUAAUUUACAAAUUAGUAUAAGUUUUAGAUUUAUGUUUCAAUUUAUGGUCUCUAUCUUAAGCAACAAUUUCCUUACAAAGGAAAAAAGGAGUUACUUUGGAAUUUAUUUAGCGCAAUAAUAUGAUGUUAGAGUUGAUUUUUGUGCCCGUGAAACAAAUUCAGACGAAGGAAGCGAAUUGAAAACCCUAUAGCCUAGACGAUUUCAAUGCUUGAAACAAAGAGGUUUAAUUCGGGUAUUUUUGUGAUUACCUUUAAUUUCAUGUUUUAUUAUGUUUAAUUUCGUUUUUUAAUUAUCCAUGGUUAAUGUAAUUUUUUUUAACAAGAUAUGGUCGAGAUCUCAAUUUUUCUUUCUUUUCAUGUUUGUGUUAAUUUGUUACGGUUUUAUCAUAUAUUUUUGUUUAUUGUUCAAAUUAUAAAGAUAGUUUUUGUAGUUACAGGAAAAUGAAUUCUACCGGCUGUUCCCGGUUUCACAAAAAUGUUUCCAUUUGUUGUUUCUCUCUGACAGUUGAUUAUGUGGAGGAUCCAAUCACCCAAUGGAGUAUAGGAGGAUAUUCUCAAGCUUCAGGUAAUCCUGUUUAUCUUGCUAAUUUUCUAUAUAGUUCCCUUUACUUUGGUAUUUUGAUGGUCUAUAUAAUGUUUUAUACUUUCUUCCUUGGAGCUUUUUGGUUUGAAUCCAAUCAUCUUUAUGGCUUUUAUUGCUUGAUUCGGGUUUGAGAUUCUUGGAAUUACAUGAUUGGUGGUUCAGACUUUGGAGGUACCAUUGCCUUACAAGUUUCAUCUUAUGUAAAUCCGACUUUAUAACCUAUCAAUCUGGAUGGUCUUACUCUGCUAUGUAAAAGUUUAUUGUAAUAUGGUAUUUGUUGGAUAAGUACUUUAUGUCUACAGUUUGUCAAUUUUCUCAACUUCAUUGUUCCUUAGUCAUUAAUUUUACAAAAUAAAUGAGCAACUUUUCUAAUAUAAACAGUUUAUAUUAUUGUUACAUAAAUUAAAUGCAAAAUAAUAUUUGACUUUUUUAAAAAAAUAUCGUUAAGGAACAAAUCUAGAGAAAAAAUAUGACACGCUUUAAAAAACGAAAUGUCAAAAGAAAAUUAUUUGAAAAAAAAGAAACUAAUUAACGCUUGGAAAGUAUUUUCCAAAAUGAAACUAAUAUUCGCCUGUUCAUAAAAACCCUAAGAACUUUAUAAUGGCGUUGCAAUUCGGGAUAACCAGAAACAUACCAGAACAAUGUGUCCGACCUUUGUGGAAUGCAAUCGAGUUCCGAUGCAUUUCAUGUUCUUUAGAUGAUGACAUGUUUCCGUAUAGAAACUAAUCGGUGAAACGAAUAUAAUAGCCAAAAGAAACUAAUUGGCGAAAGGAAACUAAUUUCCAAAAGAAACUACUAGUUGCCGCAAAAUCGAUUAAUAACAUAAUGUAUAUGUUUUGUGUUCCUUGAAAUAUAACAUGUUUUCCGAAUAAAGUAAUCGUUGAAACAAACUAAUUGUCGAAUGAAGUUAUUCGCCGCCGCCGCUUUGCGCGGGUAAACGGCUAGUAUAUAUAUAUAUACAAAUCUUACUAUUUCUAAAAAUAGAUUUAAGACGUCCAAAUGUUUAAGCUUAAAGUACAACCGAACACAAAAGAAAAAUAUAAUAAUAAAAGUUUAAGACGUUUAGUUUAAAUAUUUAAGCAUUAAAUACAAUUAAUCAAUGCAUAGCAUCCUUAAUUGUCGUGACUUUUUGACCGACCCAUGUCUCGCUUACUUAAUUUUUUAUUUCUCUUUUUAUCUUGAACUUUGACCUGAUCUUUUUUGUUUGAAUUUAAAACACACCAAACAUCGGAGUAUAGUUGCGAUCUUUGAAUUCCAAAAUUUCAAAAACUGAAUAUAAUAACUCUUCAAACAACUUCCACUAGAAUUCUAACGCCUCCCAUCAUUGCCAACACCCUCCUCGUCGACCGCUCUCACUGCUUCCAUGGCCCCAGCUUACUAUCCAUCGUCAACACCAUCCACAGUUACCACCAGCUCAUUCCUAUUGCACAUCGCCUUCCAAAAACCCUAAAGUCUCCCCUCCCCACCAUACGCCACCACAGUCGUACGCCUCUCUCCAGGAACCAUAAAAACCUUGGAUUUCAACUUCUUCGCCGUUGGCACCACAUACGCACCACCAAAAACCAAUCACAGAAAAGCCAUAUAACGAAUGUGGUUGAAACAAACAUUAAAGGGACUAUAAUUUCCAGAAAUGUUGCCACCACCAACUAACGCUACACUCCUCUCUUACUUUCUCUAAAAAUCCAUAAACCACGUCCACAUGAUCCAAAUGGAAUUUGACUUAGAUUCUCUUUGAUUCCAGGUUUUUACUGGAUCACAAAGGGCAAUUGAGGUAGUUUUCCGCCGUAAGAAGUAUUUUGAGUAAUACUUUACGCAGGGGUGUAUAUGUAUAAUCAUGGGUUUGGUGGUUUUUUUUGGUUGAGGAUUAAGUUGCGAUGAAUGAAAAAUGUGGGCUUGAAUUCCUCACAAAAAGAACUGGGCUUUGAUGUUCAGCUUAGAUUUUGAAUUUCACUCGAAUCUCAUUCCAUAAUUUCAGUGUUUUCAUGGGAGAGAGAAGAAGGCUUCUAUAACAUAGCUCGAUGGUCAAUCUGGCAUGUUUAAACGUUCGACUUAUUUUCCUUGAAGUUCCAUCGCCCUCUCUAUCAUGUUUCAUGUACACUGGAACGCCAACGAUCCUCUCUCCUUCGCUUCACCAAAUAUGUUUUUUUUUAGUUUUCUCAUAGUAAAAGUCUGAUAUACCCUUAUCGAAAUUAUAUUAGAAUUUUUAUUUUAAAGUUAAUUUCGUUCAGCUGUUGCACCUGCUUGGACUCCAUUUUUGAAAUUGGUGUUUGGCAUUCAUGCUGAGUGUCCAAAAGUUGAGGUUCUUCUAGGCUUCUAGCAACAUGUUUUAUCAGACCAUAACUUCUAUUUUCUUUAUCUUUUUUCUUUUCUAAUUUUUGUUUUUAUUAGUGAUAUGUAAAUUUAACCAGGUUCAUGAGGCGAAAUUGUAAAAUCUAAGUUAGAAAUGGAGAUUGUGAUUAUGGUUCAUUGGACAAAACUGUGAAUUACAACAGGAUCAACCGAAUGUGAUGACUUUUGGUUUUGUUCAAAUGUAAGUUAGAAAUAGAGAUAGUAUUAUUUCUUUCUUCUAGGAUGUCUAAGUUUUUCAUAUAAGCUUAAAUUUAUGCACUGUGGCUUUGGUUUUUUUUAUCAUGUCAUACAUGACAUAUAUAUUCUUUUUAGGGUCAUUGAUUUUAAAAAAUUAGCUACAUUCCAACUUCAAAUUUCUGAUUUUUAACAUGCUAUCAUGGCUUCAUGCAGAGAAUCUAUGAUUUUGAAGUUGCUUUACCACUAACUAUUGGUAGUUGUUUAUCUAAUCUAAAAAUGGUUCAUGUUUCUAACAUUGUUGAAAUGCUCUUUUUUCAUCGUAACACUACUUUUACUUUUACAUUUUGAUAGGAGAUUAGCAGCACUAAAAGCACUUAUUCAACUUUGGCAGUUAUGCAAAAGGUUUUCAUCUUUCAUGAGGCAUUUUCUACAAAUUCCGCUGAAGAGCUUGAGGAAAUAUAAAGAGAUGACCACUGUAUUUGGUGCUUUUACUUUGGACUUAAGAAAUCAUGAAAACUUUUCAUACUAACUAGAGCGGUACAUGUAUAUUUACGAGGUUAUAUCCAUCUCUUCUCUCUCAACAAAUCAAUUGGAGAAACGAUAAGAUUUGUUUGUAACGUUUUAGUACAUUUAUUUAUAAAAAUCAUUAAUAAAAUUUUAUUUGAAUUUUGGGUCAUCAUGUGAGGUAAAUGUCUCUACUUUUUGAAAGUAUAAAGGUGUAAUUAGGUUGAUUUUUGAGCUACAACUUCUUUUUAAGAAAAAGAAGUACAAUGUUGUAGAUGUUAAUAGUAAGAAUAAAACUCUUUUCUUGGAAAAGGUUGGUCAAAAGAUAGACCAUGCGUGAAUUUUCACAAUUUUGUUGUUAUUAGAAAUUACGUAAAGAGAAACAUGGCCUUAGCCAAACUAAGAAUUAGAAUUUAUAAUUGAAGGGUUUUUACUCUAAUAUUAAGGUGUUGUAGCAGGAGUUGAUUCUUUUUACCUAUCAAAUAUACAGUGAGUUUUAUCAUUUUUAAUUUUUCCUAAGGUAUGAAGGUUGAGAAAUAGCAAUGUACUUUCAUUUGUUUGUCUAAUAACAUCUUACUUUCAUUUCUUAUUUUUAAUUUCUUUUUAUGUUAUUUUAUUUUCUUUCCUAUUAAAAUUUUAGACUUUGAAAGUACAAUGUUAUAAUUGAGGUAGAAUGCUCUUUCUUGCAUUUAGCUCAAUCAUGAUUCAUGAGUAUGGUUGUAAUCCAAUUUCAUUUCUAAUUUUAUGCAGGUGGAUUUGGGGGUCAAUGAGAUUACAUUGUUAAGAGUACAAUUGUAAAUCAAUUUCACAACAAGCUCUUAAUCUUGCUGUUAAAAUGUAUUUGAACAUGUAAAUAUUUUGAUGAAAGUAAUAAUAUGUUGACGCCAAAAUGUUGCUGAAAAUUUAAAUAGUUUUUGUCAA